UCGGCCCCUCGCGACGCUAGGUCGAAAACCCCGCCAGGGCCGGAAGGCAGCAACGGUAUCGAUCGACGCGGGCGCCGAGGCAAGCCGG
rnacentral:SRP_RNA from 1 species